AAUGGUAAUAGGAUGAUGCGCGGUCGGCUGCACAAACAGACAAGGAUGCAAACCCAACCUGUCAUUUUAUUCUAACUUUUAAUGAGAAAAAAUAUGGCGGAGACGGAUAACAACCGUUAAUAGUAAUGCCCGUCUGUCGUCGGUGUAAUCGUAGAUUUGCAAUAAACACUUUUUACAAGGCAAGAAGAUUACCUUGUAAAACUCCUCUCAGGUUCCGGUUCUGCCUGAUCCGGGUUAAUAUGGCCGCCAGCCCCGCCGCCACCAGAUUCGAGGACCUGAAGGACACGAUGGUGCUGACGUACUGAACAGCGACGCAGUCGUCAGGUGAAGGGGUCAAAUGCAGAGUCAAAUUCUGAAAACCAAGACAGGACUGCAACAGAAAGGAGAACUUUAAAUAAUUUGAAUGAAAGCGCUAAAUAAAUGUAGUUAUUACACAGCUCCUCUACACCAUUAAGUUGUAAAUAAACGAACAAAAUGCAUUAACUCUUCGGAGUCUCACUGACGAAACUCCUACCUUCUUGGUAGGAUCCUCCUUAAGUUUGGAGAAGAAGAAUGAGACAAGGUGGACGGCUAACAU